GACGAACGCUGGCGGCGUGCUUAACACAUGCAAGUCGAGCGGUAAGGCCCUUUCGGGGUACACGAGCGGCGAACGGGUGAGUAACACGUGGGUGACCUGCCCUCAGCUCUGGGAUAAAGCCUGGGAAACCGGGUCUAAUACCGGAUAUGACUCCAUGGCGCAUGUUGUGGGGUGGAAAGCCUUGUGCGGCUGAGGAUGGGCCCGCGGCCUAUCAGCUUGUUGGUGGGGUGAUGGCCUACCAAGGCGACGACGGUAGCCGGCCUGAGAGGCGACCGGCCACACUGGGACUGAGACACGGCCCAGACUCCGUACGGGAGGCAGCAGUGGGGAAUCUUGCGCAAUGGGCGAAAGCCGGACGCAGCGACGCCGCGUGAGGGAUGACGGCCU
rnacentral:rRNA from 1 species